GCAGUAUGAUGACCGGAGACACAGCUGUUGGAGGAAAAAAGUUUAUGUCAAUUAAAAUCCUGAAUUUCUCUGAUCUGGAAAGAAAAACUGCUAUGAACUCUUUAGGUGGCAGGUGGAGCUGGCCCACGAGACUUACUAGCUGUCGAGAUGUGACGGAGGUGAAAAGGUGAAACCCAAGGGGCAGAGGAAAGGAGGAGGAAGGCGGGGAUCUCGAACCACAGGCACCGUGAGUUCUCUCCACAGCUUCCUCUACCCAUUCUCACCCAGCGCAAGCCAGACUCCUCAUCUCCAAUUUCACUGUUUUAGCAGAAUAGCUAUGGAAAGAAUUACAACUGUGGAAAUAAUAGUAAGAAGAAAAACAAGCUCUCCCAUCUGUGGGACAAGGGGCGGUCCAGUGGAACAAGCAUGGAUCUUGGUAUCAAAGGGCCCAGGUUUUGCCCAGGUUCGUCUGCCCCAAACCUGCAGUGGUGAUGCAGCUCAUCCAGGUGGAGGCCUAGGGCUUGGUCACGGCUGCAGGGUGACCCCCAGGGACUCUCGACCAUCUCUUGGGCCACACUCCCUCUCUCUCCAUCCCAGCCUGUUUGCUGUUCCUCACAUGCCCAGCUUGGCCCCAGUCCUUCUGAGGCCUUUGCCACAGUGUCCCCUUGCCCUAAUUGUGCUUCCCCAACUGUGUGACAGCUCACUUUUGUCUUGCCUCUGCUCGAAUGAAGGUUAUUAAACUUGAUCCUGUCCAUCCU
rnacentral:lncRNA from 1 species